GAUGAACGCUAGCGGCAGGCCUAAUACAUGCAAGUCGGACGGGAUUCAGGAGCUUGCUUCUGAUGAGAGUGGCGCACGGGUGCGUAACACGUAUGUAACCUACCUUUAUCAGGGGGAUAGCCUCUCGAAAGAGAGAUUAAGCCCGCAUAAAAUCACAGCACAGCAUUGUGUAAUGAUCAAAUAUUUAUAGGAUAAAGAUGGGCAUGCGGAACAUUAGCUAGAUGGCGGGGUAACGGCCCACCAUGGCGACGAUGUUUAGGGGAUCUGAGAGGAUGGCCCCCCACACUGGUACUGAGACACGGACCAGACUCCUACGGGAGGCAGCAGUAAGGAAUAGUGGUCAAGGGGCGGAAGCCUGAACCAGCCAUGCCGCGUGCAGGAAGACGGCCCUACGGGUUGUAAACUGCUUUUAUACGGGAAUAAACCCAGAUACGUGUAUCUGGCUGAAUGUACUGUAAGAAUAAGGAUCGGCUAACUCCGUG
rnacentral:rRNA from 1 species